AAGUCGUAACAAGGUUUCCGUAGGUGAACCUGCGGAAGGAUCAUUAAUGAAAUUAUGACUGGGGUUGUAGCUGGCCUAUAAAACGGCAUGUGCACGCUCCUUUCACAAUCCACACACACCUGUGCACCUUCGCGGGGGUCUUUUUUUCUCUUCGGGGGAAUAAAGACUCGCGUCCCUUUACACACCCUUUGUAUGUCUUAAGAAUGUCUACUCGAUGUAAUAAAACGCAUCUAAUACAACUUUCAACAACGGAUCUCUUGGCUCUC
rnacentral:misc_RNA from 1 species